UUUGUGGGAAUGAAAACUUUAACUUUUUGAGGUUGAUAGCUAAAUUCCAUUUUCGUUUGAGAACAAUAUUUGUUUUCCAUUUUUCCUAAAUUAUAAGAACAUAUUUCUUCAGUUUGUGAUUUUGUGUAAUAGUGUUGUUCGUUUGGUUGCCGCAUCCACCUGCGUCUGCGGCAAUGUUUUGAAAAAUUCGUGUUCGUUUGGUUGACGCAGGAAGCUGCGUCUGACGCUGCGUCUGACGCUGCGUCCGAACGCCGCGUCCUGCGGCUGACGCCGAUAAAACCCGCGGCUGCGACGUAAAUUAUGCGGCCGAUAACGUAAUUUACUAUUUUGCCCUUAAUAUGUUUCAGUAUUUACAAAAAUACCUAACCUAGAUUGACGCAGCCGCAUCUUGUUUUCCAAAUUGACGCAACCUUGAUAUCUCUUUCCAUCUCCAUCUCAGGCAGACCUCGAGCUCUCUCAUCUCCAUCUCCGAUACAGACCUCGAGCUCUCUCAUCUCCAUCUCACACAGCCACGAGCUCUCUCAUCUCCAUCUCCAUCUUCGACGUAGACCUCGAGCUCUCUCAUCUCCAUCUCAGACGCAGACCUCGAGCUCUCUCCUCUCUGACGCAGCACGAGCUCUCUCUUCUCCUCCGAUUUGGGUUUCAAGCAUAGUUGAGCUAUUGGAAAGAAGUGCUUGAAGAGAGGCGUAAAAUCAACUGGGUGCUUGCAAAAACCUUGUGGCUAGAGCUUGUCUGGACUGUUGACUGGUGGGCAGGAGUAAAGGUACCCUCUUUUCCCUAUUUAUAUGCUACUGGGUUCUUUCUACUGACUGCAUUUGUCUAAGUAACUUGAGUUUUGGUGUGUGAGGAGUUUGCUUGUGUGACAUGUUAUGUUUCUCUUCUCAUCUUGUUUGUAGGAUUCUUUCUGCCUGCUGUUGUAAGGCCUAUCUUACAUUCACUUGAGGCUUCCAAACAAGUUAAAGCCCCUCCUUCUUAUAUACUUUGUGUUUGCAAAUUUUCUUCGUUUGUUUUUUAUGUUUCCAAGUUCUGUAUUUUUGUUGUUGUGUGUUGUACAUAACACUUAUCUCCAUGCUUUUGCUUCUCCUCGCUUUGCUUCUUAUUCUUGUGAUUUUACUUGUUCAUUUAUGUGUCUCUGUAAAUUUAUAUGCUUUCCCUCAUGUACUAUCACGUUUUAUUGCUUUCAAAAGCAAGGAUUGGGCAUAAGAUUGACUUGUUAGUCAGCCCAUUGUUUAGUACUUGGUAAUGUCUAGCCAAAACUAAAUCCUUCAAGUGGUUUUUUGCAGGUUAUUGCUGGUGUCACUGGGAAGAAACAGAGCUAAAUACAUGCAAUGACUUUCCCCUGUUUUCUUACAUUCAGAUUCCUUCUUUGUCUUUUAACUCUUUCCAUUCACAAGUGAAAUAAGCUAGACCUCAUGUUGUUUUUUUACAUAAAGGCAUGCGUGUAAAGUACACUUUGUUCAUCCUUUUUAUCACAUGUAUUCGGUUCUUAAUGACAAAUCUAAAAGCUUCAAACUU